GAUGAACGCUAGCGGGAGGCCUAACACAUGCAAGCCGAGCGGUAGAGUUCCUUCGGGAAUUUGAGAGCGGCGUACGGGUGCGUAACACGUGUGCAACCUACCUUUAUCUGGGGGACAGCCUUUCGAAAGGAAGAUUAAUACCCCAUAAUAUAAUGAUUGGCAUCAAUUAUUAUUGAAAACUCCGGUGGAUAGCGCUGGUCACGCGCAAGAUUAGAUAGUUGGUGAGGCAACGGCACACCAAGACAAUGAUCUUUAGGGGUUCUGAGAGUGAGAUCCCCCACACUGGGACUUAGACACAGACCAGACUCCUACGGGAGGCAGCAGUGUGGAAGAUUGGACAAGGGGUGAAAGCCGGAUCCAGCCAUCCCGCGUGAAGGAUGACGGUCCUAUGGAUAGUAAACUUCUUGUGGACAGAGAUAAACCUACUCUCGAGACAGUAGCUGAAGGUACUGGACGAAUAAGCACCGGCUAACUCCGUG
rnacentral:rRNA from 1 species